rnacentral:rRNA from 1 species
GCAGGAUUGCGUUUAGAAGUGCUUACAAAUCUGUGAUGACAGCUAUAAAAAGAUAAGGAUUAGAGACCCUUGUAUUGAGUUAUUUAAUUUUUAUUCCGUAGUCGAAACUAAAAAGAUUUGGCAGCUGAUGAGGUUCUUCCGGGGGAACGUGUUUCAUAAAAGAUAGUCCGCUUAGGUUCAGACCAUUCUUAGGGGAGUUAGUGUAUAUCCGGUUAAAGAUCCGGGAUUUGUGUCUUCGGGUGAUUUAUUAUGAGUUAAGCCAGGUC